CCUACGGGUGGCAGCAGUGAGGAAUAUUGGUCAAUGGGCGGAAGGCUGAACCAGCCAAGCCGCGUGAGGGAGGAAGGCGCUGAGCGUUGUAGACCUCUUUUGCCGGGGGACAAAAGCCGGGACGUGUCGCGUCCUGAGGGUACCCGGAGAAAAAGCAUCGGCUAACUCCGGGCCAGCAGCCGCGGUAAUACGGAGGAUGCGAGCGUUAUCCGGAUUUAUUGGGUUUAAAGGGUGCGCAGGCGGCCAGUUAAGCCGGCGGUAAAAUCGCGGGGCUCAACCCCGCCGGGCCGUUGAAACUGGGGUGCGUGAGUGGGGGAGAGGUAUGCGGAAUGCGCGGUGUAGCGGUGAAAUGCAUAGAUAUCGCGAAGAACCCCGAUUGCGAAGGCAGCGUGCCGGGUCGACACUGACGCUGAGGCACGAAAGCGUGGGGAUCGAACAGGAUUAGAUACCCUUGUAGUC
rnacentral:rRNA from 1 species